rnacentral:lncRNA from 1 species
GGGGGUUUGGCUUAUGAGCUGUGCAGUAGUAGUUGAUGUUGCAACCACCGGGGAUCAAAAUACGUCGAAGAUUGCAAGCAAGUGUACAGUGACUCAGACUGGUUCUUUGUUUGCCUAGUACUCUCUAUAGGCUGCAUGGUACGUAGCCUAGGGAUAUAUUAUAUCGUAUUAUUGGUCAAGAGGAGGCCAUAAAAUAUUUGGUUGUAGUUGAAAAGAACUAAACUAGUUCUUUUUAAUUAUAU